CGCGUAGGCGGAUGAUUAAGUCAGAUGUGAAAGCCCAGGGCUUAACCUUGGAACUGCAUUUGAUACUGGUCAUCUAGAGUACAGUAGAGGGGGGUGGAAUUCCAGGUGUAGCGGUGAAAUGCGUAGAGAUCUGGAGGAACAUCAGUGGCGAGGGCGACCCCCUGGACUGAUACUGACGCUGAGGUGCGAAAGCGUGGGUAGCGAACA
rnacentral:rRNA from 1 species